AUUAUCUUGAAUUCCCUAUUUCUUAAUUUCACUUACCAAAUAUAUAGACGUGUUCUGUCAGGGCGUUGGUUUGCGACAGAAAAUAAAAUAGGCCUAUUAAAAUUACAGUUUUCAUUUUGUACUUGAACAAAAUCUCUAAUGACCGGACUUAUGAUUAUUCUGUUAGUUUUAUAUUAAAUUGUCCAAUUAAAAGAAAAAAAAUCGUUACAAAUUAGACGCGUGUCUAAGUGUGAAAUGUUAGUUAGUUUUCCUUUAGAUUAUAAUUGCGUUGUUUUAAAUCAAAUUAAAUAGUGGUAGGUACCACUGUUAAUAAUUAUUUUUAUGCAUAGAUGAUUAAACGAGCGGUUAAUGGGGAUCUCACAACAUGAAUGCCGCCACCCACCUUGUGACUUAAGGUAUUCAACGCCUGCCCCAUCCUUCACAUCGGAACGCAUUACAGCUUCCCGGCAGAAAUAAGCGGGAUUCGAACAUCGGCUCAGUCGCAUCGCACGAUACGCAUGUACCUACCGGGAGUCUUAUCCCUUAGGCCACGAUGACUACUGUACAUAUGUAUAAGGGCUUCAACAACAACGGAACAUCCAUCUAAAACGAGAUGGUCCGUAAACGCAUUCGUCUAGAUUUUCGAGUCUAGAUCAAAAAACUGAUACCCGAAAAACUAUAUUCGAGGGUAUUUUACUGAGAAUCGGUUUUUCUAAAAAUAAACCUUAUUCUAUCUCUGGAAACUGUUUAUUAAAAUCGAAAUAAAAGUAACUUUAAUGUCAAAACGAAAUGAUUAAGGUUAAUGUUUGAGAUUAAUGUUUGUUUAUGGAACAGUAUC